ACCUUAGAGACCAACUAAAUUUGUUAUUGGAAUGAGCUUUUGUGUGCAUGCAGUGCUGGUAUCUGAAGAAUUGUGCAUGCACACGAAAGCUCAUACCAAUAACAAACUUAGUUGGUCUCUAAGGU
rnacentral:miRNA from 1 species